rnacentral:rRNA from 1 species
UACAGAGGUGGCAAGCGUUGUUCGGAAUUACUGGGCGUAAAGGGCGCGUAGGCGGUCUUCUAAGUCUUGUGUGAAAUCCCUCGGCUCAACUGAGGAACUGCACGGGAUACUGGAAGACUUGAGUUCGGGAGAGGGAAGCGGAAUUCCGGGUGUAGCGGUGAAAUGCGUAGAUAUCCGGAGGAACACCGGUGGCGAAGGCGGCUUCCUGGACCGAUUACUGACGCUGAGGCGCGAAGCUAGGGGAG